rnacentral:rRNA from 1 species
AAUCAACGCUGGCGGCGUGCCUCAGACAUGCAAGUCGAACGAUUAAAGCUCUCUUCGGAGAGUGUAUAGAGUGGCGCACGGGUGAGUAACACGUAAGUAAUCUACCUUCGAGUGGGGAAUAACGUCCGGAAACGGACGCUAAUACCGCAUAAUGCAGCGGCAUCGCAAGAUGACAGUUGUUAAAGAUUUAUCGCUUGAAGAGGAGCUUGCGGCAGAUUAGCUAGUUGGUAAGGUAACGGCUUACCAAGGCUACGAUCUGUAUCCGGUCCAAGAGGACGGUCGGACACACUGACACUGAAUAACGGGUCAGACUCCUACGGGAGGCAGCAGUCGGGAAUUUUGGGCAAUGGGCGAAAGCCUGACCCAGCAACGCCGCGUGAAGGAUGAAGUAUUUCGGUAUGUAAACUUCGAAAGAAUAGGAAGAAUUAAUGACGGUACUAUUUAUAAGGUCCGCUAACUACGUGCCAGCAGCCGCAGUAAG